CUGCGCUGUACACGUUCUUUUCCAUGCUGGCUGUAGAGGCAGAUAGAUGUAAUGGUAGUUCUCUGUGAAGCAAGGAAAACAGGAUCCAAACCGGGGACUUUCCAGCGUAUUGUCUGAAAUGUGUAUUUUGUGUAAUAGCGGACCGGACUGUGUGAGGUGAAUCAGCUUUGAAGGGAAAGCUGUGUCUGCAGCUCAGCGCUGAAGUCUGCCGCCAGGAGUGACCGUGGCCGCCAACUGUCGUCGUGGAUUCGUUGUUCUGGUGCAGGAGUUGGAUCGCCGACCUCCUUUGUGGUGCAGGAGCUGGAUCGCCGACCUUCUUUCUGGUGAAGGAACUGGAUCGCUGACCUUCGACAAUAGUGGAUUUUUUAUUUUUUUGGUCGAGACAGGGAGUACAGCUUCUACAGAGUGAAAGUAGCAGUUCCUCCUUAAGGUCAGAGAUUGCAGCAUCUGAGGGCCUCUUCAAAAGAAGACGUAGUUGAUGAAGGCGUUCUGGAGCAGGACCAGAAAGACCACGACCAAGCAGCCUUGAGAUCUUAGGCAGCAUCUCCCUCAGGUCCCUCUCUAUCUCCCCACACAUCCACCAAGCACUGGAACACAUCUCCAAAGUUCUGCCGGGCCAGCUCAGCUUCCCCUCAGAAGAAGUUCCACCAGAUGAAGGAGCCUUUUUAGAGGCAGCUGGCAUCGUGAUUGGACUGUACUUUGGUCUGUUCCAAUCCAGCUUCAGCUCCAGAGACGGCAGGCGGGACGAGUCAACGGAGGCCGAGUGGACGAAGGCAUGCAGCUGAGUACAAUCCAGAAAACAACAGAGGAGGAGUGCAGCGGCCAGAACACACAGAGUAGUAUCCUAUCCUAUGUCUCUUAGAAAACAUCAUAGUAUAGCCUUUGCUAUGAAAAAACACCAUCAUAUACAUCGUAUAGUGUACAAAUUACAAGUCAAAGGAAAGAGACAUACAUUGUAGAAUUGUAGUAAUUGUGGGCUGACUGAUUUACUGAUUAUCAGUAUUUUAUUUUUUACUGGUUUACGGCAAUAAAUACAUUUAAAAAUGGC